rnacentral:rRNA from 1 species
AUAUUAGUAAGCGGAGGAAAAGAAAUUAACUAAGAUUCCCUCAGUAACUGCGAGUGAACCGGGAGGGAGCCCAGCCCUGAAUCGGGGGGGAUUCGCUCCUCUACCGAAAUGUGGGGUUUGCCGUGGUUGGUCAGACGUUUGGGUGGACUUGAAGUCAUCUUGGAAAAGUGUGCCUUAGAGGGUGAUAGUCCCGUAAGGUCUGCCCGUGCGUCGGACUGGCUGCGGUUAGAGUCGAGCUGUUUGGGAGUACAGCUCUAAAGGGUGAUAAAUUUCAUCCAAGGCUAAAUAUUAACGCAAGACCGAUAGCGCACAAGUACCGCGAGGGAAAGAUGCAAAGAACUCUGAAAAGAGAGUUCAAAGUACAUGAAACCGUUAUAAGGGAAAGCGGUGGCUAGGACACAUACCGCUAUCAGGGGUCUGUUCUUGAGAUUUCUGAGGCGUUUGUUGGUGCGUCGGAAACGGCGUUUCUAGCAGGCGUUUUUGGGGGUUUUGAGGGCGUAUUCCCUGGUGGUGUGUUCAUCGGGAUCUUGGCUCGGCUUUGAAAGA